UACGGGGGGGGCAAGCGUUGUUCGGAAUUACUGGGCGUAAAGGGCGUGUAGGUGGCCAACUAAGUCCGACGUGAAAUCCCCAGGCUUAACCUGGGAACUGCGUCUGAUACUGGAUGGCUUGAGUUCGGGAGCGGAGGAUGCGGAAUUCCAGGUGUAGCGGUGAAAUGCGUAGAUAUCUGGAGGAACACCGGUGGCGAAGGCGGCGUCCUGGACCAACACUGACACUGAGGAGCGAAAGCCAGGGGAGCAAACGGG
rnacentral:rRNA from 1 species